ACCUGGCUGGCUCAGUUGGUAAAGCAUGAGAUUCUUGAUCUCAGGGUCAUGAGUUUGAACCCCACUUUGGGUA
rnacentral:tRNA from 1 species